CACCGCUCCAUCCGCCUCAGAGGCUAGGCUAGCAGACAACAGGCACGUACGGUACGUACGGCGAGCGCCAGCUUGGCUCGGUCGGCAGGGCGAGGUCCGCCAGGCUCUAACUACGCAGUUCGGCAGCCAUUGCUUCGAACUGUCCUUGUCCGCAGCCCCCCAGACCGUCGCGUGGCCCCCACCUCGCCAUGCCUCCGCCUCGUCGGCUUCUAGAACCGCAGCAGCUCCCGAGAAGCAGGCCUGGAGGCCUUUCGGGGAGCAGCGAAGGUAAAGGCCUGCCAGGCUAUCCUCUUCCCGGGCCGCGCCCUGUUUCCUUCCCCUCCUAGGGGUCGCCUCUGCUUCCCCGUACCCCUUCGCCCCCCCCCCCCUCCCCGGCCCCACAGUCUCGGAUUCUGCCGUCCAAAUUGCCCAGAACAUGGUUUCUUAAACUGUGGCUCGCUUUCCCAUCUGGGUUCUCGUAACUGGGGGGGAGGGGAGAGGGGGAGCGUCGCGAAAUUCGGAUUUAUUAUCACUAAACGUUUGGUGCCUAUACCGAUUUUAUAUACCUACAUACCGGGGUCAUGUGAAAAUUUCUCGGGCAAAAAGGGAUCGCGAGUGAACAAAGCUUAAGAAAAUCUGGACGGGGUGGCCCCCUUCCUCCCCCCGCCCAUCGCCGAAAAACACUUUCGCCAUUUGCUUUGUGGUGGAAGGCCCCCUUACGCCGUGCUGCACCUCCUCACGGGUGUUGAUUACUUAUGAAUCGUCCUGGUGCCUUCUCUCUAAUGGGACUACAUGAUUUUUCAGGCCCAUCUGCUGCCCGAUCUGUGAGCCCCUCGUCUUCCACCACCACACCUUUGCACAAGCUGUCUCACAUGCUGGAGGUGCACUAUUUUCUCACGUUCACCUUUGGGAGCCAGUUUCCCUCUCAGCUCCACGAAAUCACCACAGAAAGCUGGAUAAAUAAGGCCUUUCCUCAUUCCUUCCCGUCCCCAAAUAAUUUUGUAUUUACUUAUUAUUUUGUAUCUAUUUACCUGCGUUCCUGAAUUUUAAUGUAUUUGUAAGUAUUUUAUAUAUUUUCUCUGUUUCUAAUCUUUCUUCCUAGUGGGGUGUGAGCAUGAUAAUGGGAGAGUUUCCUGUUGGCCUUUGCAUAUGUGGAGCCUAGAACAGCCUCUGGCAUGUGGUGAGCCCCUAUUACCUAUUUGUGUAAGGAAUCAGGGGAGGUGAGGAAGGAUUACAUCAGAGCCUUGGAAUAAAGGCUUGUGGGAAUGCACAAAUGUGGGAAACAAAAUCUAGAGUUCAGGGAACAGCAAAUAACUAACUGCCUCAACAUAGUUUGCUGAGGUAAGUAAUGUACCACAAACUUGAAAAUUAGUCUGGAGCCAGAUUGUUGGGGGGGGGGGGGGGGGCAAUAAAUGUCAGGCAUAUGGAUUUGGGUAUUAAUCUAUAGAAAAUGGAUAUUUUUCAGCAGGGGAGUGAUAUCGUUAUGAAGAAUAUUCUAUUUAAUAUUUUUAUUUUAUUUACAUGUUAUAUACUUAUUUAUUCCAUCAUUUUAUAUAUUAUUAGCUUGUGGAGGAUUGAUUGGAAAAGAUUCCCUUAUUUUUUAUAUCUGCUAUUAUUUAGCUGUGUGAAGGAUUGGUUGGAAAAUAUAUUCCCUUAUAGAUUUAUUUAUAUUAUUGUUAAUUAUUAUAUUUAUAUAAUGAUAUAUAUUUAUAUUAUAUAUAAUACUUAUAUUUAUAUUACUAUAUUAUUUAUUUGUAUAUUUAGAUGUGUGAAGGAUUGAUUGGAAAACAUUCCCUUAUUUUAUAUAUUUGUUAUUAUUUAGCUGUGUGAAGAAUUGGUUGAAAAACAGGUUCCCUUAUUUUACAGAUUUGUUAUUAUUUAGCUGUGUGAAGGAUUGGUUGGAAAAUAUAUUCCCUUAUAGAUUGAUUUAUAUUAUUGUUAAUUAUUAUAUUUAUAUAAUGAUAUGUAUUUAUAUUAUAUAUAAUACUUAUAUUUAUAUUACUAUAUUAUUUAUUUGUAUAUUUAGAUGUGUGAAGGAUUGAUUGGAAAACAUUCCCUUAUUUUAUAUAUUUGUUAUUAUUUAGCUGUGUGAAGAAUUGGUUGAAAAACAGGUUCCCUUAUUUUACAGAUUUGUUAUUAUGUAGUAGUGUGAAGGAUUGGCUGGAAAAUGUUGCCUUAUUCUAUAUAUUUGUUAUUAUGUAGCAGUGUGAAGGAUUGGCUGGAAACUAUGUGCCCUUAUUCUAUAUAUUUGUUACUAUGUAGCAGUGUGAAGGCUUGGCUGGAAACCAUGUGCCCUUUUCUAUAUAUUUGUUACUAUGUAGCAGUGUGAAGGAUUGGCUGGAAACCAUGUGCCCUUAUUCUAUAUAUUUGUUACUAUGUAGCAGUGUGAAGGAUUGGCUGGAAACUAUGUGCCCUUAUUCUAUAUAUUUGUUACUAUGUAGCAGUGUGAAGGAUUGGCUGGAAACUAUGUGCCCUUAUUCUAUAUAUUUGUUACUAUGUAGCAGUGUGAAGGAUUGGCUGGAAACUAUGUGCCCUUAUUUUAUAUAUUUGUUAUAAUGUAGCAGUGUGAAGGAUUGGCUGGAAAUUAUGUUGCCUUGUUUUAUAUAUUUGUUACUAUGUAGCAGUGUGAAGGAUUGGCUGGAAACUAUGUUGCCUUAUUUUAUAUAUUUGUUAUUAUGUAGCAGUGUGAAGGAUUGGCUGGAAAUUAUGUUGCCUUAUUUUAUAUAUUUGUUAUUAUGUAGCAGUGUGAAGGAUUGGCUGGAAAUUAUGUUGCC
rnacentral:lncRNA from 1 species